AUGAACAUUUUAGAUGAAUGUGUCCUUAGGCAAAUUGAUUAUUAUGCCAAUUGAUUUUAAGUAAAUUAGUUUUAAGCAAUUUGACAUUCUCCCCCUAAAGGAGCCUUCAAACCACUCUGAAAUUCUAGGAUUUCUGAUAUGCACUGCCCAACACAGCCUUUGUCAAGAAUGGCAGCUUUUGCUUGGUUCUAUCUCCAAAUAAACCCAAGAUUUCUAAUAUAAGGUUCUAGACUGAAAUGAAAGAGGACACCCACUAAAAGGAGCAAGUGAUGAACAAGAAAUUCUAGCCUGAAAAUAUAAAGCAAACUGACAAACAACUUCAGGGGAAGACCAGAGGAUGUUCUUUUCUCAGGAAUCUGCAGGAUGAAGAAGGUAUGCAACUUGCCCAAGGAACACCCUGGGUGACAGAGAGGAUUUGC